rnacentral:rRNA from 1 species
AGCAGCCGCGGUAAUUCCAGCUCCAAUAGCGUAUAUUAAAGUUGUUGCAGUUAAAAAAGCUCGUAGUUGAAUUUCGGGAUCAAUAUGUCUGUCGUGCCUUUGGUACGUACGGGUAUAAUUGGUUUCUACCUUCUGAUGAACCUUGAUGCCAUUAAUUUGGUGUCUUGGGGACUCAGGACUGUUACCUUGAAAAAAAUUAGAGUGUUUAAAGCAGGCAUACGCUUGAAUACAUUAGCAUGGAAUAAUGAAAUAGGACGUUCGACUCUAUUUUGUUGGUUUCUAGGAUCGACGUAAUGAUUAAUAGGGAUAGUUGGGGGGCAUUAGUAUUCAAUUGUCAGAGGUGAAAUUCUUGGAUUUAUUGAAGACUAACUACUGCGAAGGCAUUUGCCAAGGAUGUUUUCAUUAAUCAAGAACGAAAGUUAGGGGAUCGAAGACGAUCAGAUACCGUCGUAGUCUUAACCAUAAACUAUGCCGACUAGGGAUCGGAUGAUGUUAAUUUUUAAUGACUCAUUCGGCGUCC